GUAUUUACUCAUUACCGUUUAAAAAGUGUUUCUCGGAGUUCCCAUCGUGGUGUGUGGUUAAUGAAUCUGACUAAGAACCAUGAGGUUGCGGGUUCAAUCCCUGGCCUUGCUUAGUGGGUUAAGGAUCUGGCGUUGCCAUGAGCUGUGGUGUAGGUUGCAGACACGGCUCGGAUCCUGUGUUGCUGUGGCCCUGGCGUAGGCUGUGGCUACAGCUCCGAUUCGACCCCUAGCCUGGGAAGCUCCAUAUGCCACAGGGGUGGCCCUAGAAAAGGCAAAAAGACAAAAUAAUAAUAAUAAUAAUAAUAAUAAAAUAAAAAGUCUCUCUCCAAAUGGAAUGUAAAUUCUGAGCAGGAUGGGAGCAUGUCAGUUUUGCUCAUCAUUGCACAGGGCCUUCCAGAUAGUAGAUACCAAAUAAAUACCUGGUACCAAAUGCAGGUAUAGCGUGUUGGAGAAGGUUUCCUGAGGAUGUGACAUCUACACUGAGACUAAGAAGUGGAUAGGACUGGCUCAGGAGGAAGAGGAGGGGGCGGUUAGGGGCACCUCAGGCAGAGGGACAAGCAGGUCAAAGUGUCAUAAGGCAGGAAGAUGCUUGGCAUCUUCCAGAAAUUAAAAAUGGAUGGGAGUUUCUUGGUAGCUCAGUGGGUUAAGGAUCUAGUGUCGUCACUGCUGUGGUGCAGAUUCAAUCCCUGGCCCAAAACUUUUACUUGCCGCAGGCAUGGCCAAAAAGAAAAUUCAAAGAAAGCUAGUAUUGGAGUUCCCGUUGUGGUUCAGUGGGAACAAAUCUGACUAGUACCCACGAGGACGCAGGUUCAAUCCCUGGCCUCGCUCAGUGGGUUGAGGAUCCGGCAUGGCCGUGAGCUGUGGUGUAGGUUGCAGACUCGGGUCGGAUCCUGAGCUGCUGUGGCUGUGGUGUAGGCUGACAGCUCCAGCUCCGAUUAGACCCCUAGCCUGGGAACCUCCCUAUGCCACGGGUACGAAUCCCCCCCCCCCAAAAAAAAGGACAAAAAAAAAAAAA
rnacentral:lncRNA from 1 species